UCGGGAGGACCAACUGUUGGACGAGUUACCCAAUUCAUUCCAGAGAUUGUCCUGUCUGAAGAUGAGUGCAAGGAAGCGAUGUCACUGAUGAAACAUUCGGCUGACGUGGACAUGGUCAUCAAAGAGAUGAAGCUGACAUUUGCUCAUCGGCAUAACAUGGUCCUGGACCCACAGCAGUCAAGCAACAUUCUAUCUUAUUUUCCUCGUUUUAAAGACAUCAAAGGCUUGGUUGAACAGGAUUUUGUUCUAUUGUUUGGAGAGGAUGUAUCGGGCAAGUUUCUGGAGAAGUAGCCAAUCACAUUCAAAAAGAAGAUCAUCCAACAAUGCAGAAAGCUUCCCUCCAUCACUGAGCUUGAGAAACUCCUGAUGGCAGCUGACCCUCCUGAGGAUGGGGCUGAAGUGAACGUUGACUUUGGUUGGGACAAUGACCUCUCAUCGAUUUUGCUGCUCUUACACUUGAUCCCACCGACUGCUCUAGGUCGGAAGAGGCCAGGAAAAGUUUCUGCAUCCCGGGAUGAGAAGCAUCUUGUGGUCUUCAAGAAGACUGGAACAAGCAUCCAAGAACAUCUUGACACCAUUACUACCAGCACUCAACCCUAUCUCCUGGCUGUUGGAGUUCAUAAUUCUCGACAAGAAUGCCAUACCUUGCAGGUCACACUCCUCUCUUGGUGCUUUUGAUGAACUGUUUAAAGCACACUUUGUGUUUGCAACAUCAUACCACACCAUGCUCCACAACAUGUACACGAUCAUCCAGACUACUUUGUACAACAUUGAUGUUGGGAAGGUCAAAGAGAGUCCUUGUGUUGCUGAAAUUAGGACAAGGUUGCUUCUGUAGUGUUUGACUUUUGUCUUCCACCAUUAAGUGUUUUGUUUGUCAGGCUGAGUUCCCGAGUUCAAACAUGCUUGUUCGACAUUUACGUUUAGUUCACGGUUACCUGCCUGGAAAAAAUAUUAACCUUAAAUGCGUUCAAACUGGAUGUGGUGGUGUGUUUGGUACUUUCUCUGGUUUUAGGAAGCAUUUGAAAACAAAACACUCAGUGUACUGAACUACAGAUUGGCACCUAUGUUAAAGUUAAAAAGUUAAAGUACCAAUGAUUGUCACACACACACUCUAGGUGUGGCGAGAUUAUUCUCUGCAUUUGACCCAUCACCCUUGAUCACCCCCUGGGAGGUGAGGGGAGCAGUGGGCAGCAGCGGUUGCCGCGCCCGGGAAUCAUUUUUGGUGAUUUAACCCCCAAUUCCAACCCUUGAUGCUGAGUGCCAAGCAGGGAGGUAAUGGGUCCCAUUUUUAUAGUCUUUGGUUCACUUAAACAGGACAGAAGAGACAGUGUCAGUUAAUGUAGAUGAGUCAGCCACAACAUCUGAACAGUCGAGACAAGCUAAUAGGAGCAGUCUUGAUAUGUGUACCACUGCUGUUGCACAAUUUAAGGUAGCUGGAUUAAGUCAGUCUACUAUGAAUGGUUUUGUCUCAUCCAUGGAGGAAGUGUACAGAGUACCGCUGUGACUUUCAUUGUCUGUUCAGAUGUGGCAUUUGACAUGCCUGUGUUUUGUAAGAUAAAAAAUAUUAUUGUCAAAGCUGAUGAUGUAUUGCUCUGUGGGAAACUGAUGGAAACUGUGUUUUGAGGAGCAUUACCAUGCCUAUAAGGUCAGGUUGCAUCCAGACAAAGUUGUUAAGGUUUUGGACAUAAAGAAACUGCCUUACU